GAGGUUGUGGCUCAGCAGUAGGGUGCUCGCCUAGCAUGUGUGAGACCCUGGGUUCAAUCCUCAGCACCACA
rnacentral:tRNA from 1 species